GCAUAAAUUAAAACCAUUAUAUACAUAUCCAAUCUCCAAAGGUUCUUUACAAUUCAGUCCAAGGCACUACAGGCCUGACAACAAAAUUACACUAUUACAUCAAAAAUCACAUUGUGGCACCGCCACCGGACACCUACUAACAAAAGUUCCUUGAUCAGUCCCGGGCGUCAGCCACCUGCCACAAUUGUCCAGCUGCCCACUCUCAAGAAUCGAAGGAUAUCACUCUACACAAGGAAUAAAAUAAGAUGAAUGAGUUAAAAAGCCCAGUAAGUAUAUCAGUGCCCAUGCAUUCCCACCUUAAAUACACACUUAUAAGAUAAUGUGGUCUGCAUAUCAUCACAGAAUAAAGUCAUGCAUCACAAAUCAUUAGCAGUGUAAAAUAGAGUAUGAUUCAGAUUCCAAGGAAGUGCAUAUGUAUGAGCAAACAGUUAUUUCACCUCUUAUCAUAGUAACAUGUCAGUACCCAGAAAGAACACACAAAGCACACAAGUAAAGUCUAGAGUUAUCUACUCCCGAAGUAGAAGUCGCAUCGAUCAGGCCAAGUCAAUCCUGAACUUUAAACUUUUACUCUAAUUCAGGAGGGAGGACAAUGAAAAAUGGAGCUCUCAUUUCGUAAUGUCCUUACUCAUAUACACAAUCCCCAGCGUACUUUGGGGUUUUCGAUAAGCGGUAGCCUUGCAAGAUAUUACCCUAUCCUUAUACUUUCAGGCGAGAGGGCGUUACACUACCAUUGGAAGACCCAAUGCAUAGUGCCCAGAAUAAUAAGAGGGGGACGCGACCCUCCCAAUAAUUUACAGUUACCUGCUGACUCCAUUCCUAUCAUUAGAGUCGAGGCACAGGCUAUCCAAUUACCAAUGGAGGAUCCAUUGCGUAGUGGUUAUAUCACAUAUAUCAGUCUCAAUAUAACAGAAUCACAAUAUCCAACUACUAAUGGAUGACCCAUUGCGUAGUGGUCAGUAUCACAUAUAUCAACCUCAAUAAAAUAGAAUCACAAUAUCCAACUACUAAUGGAGGACUCAUUGGUAGUGGUCAGUAUCAUAUAUAGAUAACAGAAUUAGAGCAUCCGACUACCAAUGGAGGACCCAUUACAUAGUGGUCAGUAUCACAUAUAGAUAACCGAAUUACAGUAUCCAACUACCAAUGGAGGAUCCAUUGCGUAGUAGUCAGUAUUGCAUGUAGAUAACAGAAUUACAGUAUCCAACUACCAAUGGAGGACCCAUUGCAUAGUGGUCAGUAUCACAUAUAGAUAACAGAAUUACAGUAUAUUACAUUUAGUUACACUUCAUAUAUGCAUGCUCAAGAGUUCAUUUGCUCAUGCUUUACCAUUCAAGAGUUUAAGAACAUUCAUAGUAUCAUAAGCAAGCAUUUUCAAUAUCUCAUGACAGAUAAGUUCAAUCUCCUUAUGAAGGGAUUUAACUAUUUUCAGAAACAUCAGUAUAUAAUAUUUGCAUAGUUCAUAAUAACAGUUUGGGAUUUACUGUCAUACUCAUUAUGAUAUAUGCAUAUACUAAAUGAGACAUGCCAUUUAAUUCAUGAGGGAUUUCAACUCAGUUUCAAUCUUCACUUGAAAUAGAUAUGUAUAUAUUUUGUUCAAAGAGAAUUUGAAGCUAUUUGUGCAUCAUUUGAUCAGUUAAAAGCCCAACAGAACAAGAGCAACAACUUCUGGAAUUUGCAGUAAUCUAUGACAGUGAGAUCUUACACCAAUAGAAGCAUAACUCUCGAAUUUGAGGGAAUUCUGGGGUAGUUUCAAAACCAAAGUUCAAGAAUACAUAUCUUUCCAACAAAUGUGAUUUGAAAGCAUUUGGGCUCCAAUUACUGAAUCAAAAGCUUAUAGCAACAUAAGAGAAUCUAUGAAUUCUACUAACAGUGACAUAUCCCUAUUAUUAGUGGCAUAAUUUUCAAUCUAGAAGGUAUUUUGAAAUGAUUUCAACAUAAAACUUUAAGUAAACGCACAGAUCUUUCAAGUGGCAGUGGUUUGAAAGUAAUUAGACUCCAUUUGGUCAUUUAAAAGCUCAAGACAACAAAAGCAAACAGUUAUGAAAUUCAGUGAAAUCUGUUAACAAUGAUAUGCUUGCACAAUUUGAAGCAUAGCACCUCAUUUAUAGAGAAUUUGAGCAAAGUUUAAACAUGAAAAUCAUAGUAGACACAUGGAUCUAUCUAAUGGAGGUGAUUUGGUGUUAUUUGGAUAUCAUUUGAUAGGUCAACAUAGUGCUACAAGAACAUGCAACUUCCCUGGAAUUUCACAGUGUAAGCAUGACAUCUCUCAAGUAACAAUCAAUUACUCCCAAUUUAGGUUAGACAUUAAUAUGAAACAUUUUUCAUAUUGAAUUAGACUCACAUGAAUACCAAUUCACAUAUUUUCAUGAUUAACAAUAGUAAUUUCAAUGCACAUCUUGUCUUGCACAGAAGACUUAAUUUUUGGAAAACAAUGCACCACGAUCUACACAUGCAAUCAUUGGUCCCCAAAAUUCAUACAAGUUCAUGCUUAGUUUUCAUACUCCCACAACUAAAAACAUGCAAGGUUUUUGAUCCACUUACCUUGUGUGUGCAAUGGUGUUAUCAAAACCCUUCACACAUUCACUCCAAGUCUUCCCACAAAGCUCAAAGGGGGAUGGAGUUUGGUGCUCCAAGAGAG
rnacentral:lncRNA from 1 species